CGGGCUGUAGUAUAGUGGUAAUACACGCGCAUGGGGUGCGUGAGUCGAGGGUCCGAUUCCCUCCAGCCCGA
rnacentral:tRNA from 1 species